GACGAACGCUGGCGGCGUGCCUAACACAUGCAAGUCGAGCGAAUGAAGUUCCUUCGGGAACGGAUUUAGCGGCGGACGGGUGAGUAACACGUGGGCAGCCUGCCUCAUAGAGGGGAAUAGCCUUCCGAAAGGGAGAUUAAUACCGCAUAAGAUUGUAGUACCGCAUGGUACAGCAAUUAAAGGAUCAAUCCGCUAUGAGAUGGGCCCGCGGCGCAUUAGCUAGUUGGUGAGGUAACGGCUCACCAAGGCGACGAUGCGUAGCCGACCUGAGAGGGUGAUCGGCCACAUUGGAACUGAGACACGGUCCAAACUCCUACGGGAGGCAGCAGUGGGGAAUAUUGCACAAUGGGCGAAAGCCUGAUGCAGCAACGCCGCGUGAGCGAUGAAGGCCUUCGGGUCGUAAAGCUCUGUCCUCAAGGAAGAUAAUGACGGUACUUGAGGAGGAAGCCCCGGCUAACUACGUGCCAGCAGCCGCCGUAAGAC
rnacentral:rRNA from 1 species